rnacentral:rRNA from 1 species
GACGAACGCUGGCGGCGUGCUUAACACAUGCAAGUCGAACGGAAAGGCCCUGCUUUUGUGGGGUGCUCGAGUGGCGAACGGGUGAGUAACACGUGAGUAACCUGCCCUUGACUUUGGGAUAACUUCAGGAAACUGGGGCUAAUACCGGAUAGGAGCUCCUGCUGCAUGGUGGGGGAUGGAAAGUUUCGGCGGUUGGGGAUGGACUCGCGGCUUAUCAGCUUGUUGGUGGGGUAGUGGCUUACCAAGGGUUUGACGGGUAGCCGGCCUGAGAGGGUGACCGGCCACAUUGGGACUGAGAGACGGACCAGACUCCUACGGGAGGCAACAGUGGGGAAUAUUGCACAAUGGGCGGAAGCGUGAUGCAGCAGCGCCGCGUGCGGGAUGACGUCCUUCGGGUUGUAAACCGCUUUCGCCUGUGACGAAGCGUGAGUGACGGUAAUGGGUAAAGAAGCACCGGCUAACUACGUG